rnacentral:rRNA from 1 species
UGCAACGGCCAUACCACGUUGAACACACCAGUCUCGUCCGAAUCACUUGAAGUUAAGCAACGUCGGCCCGGUUAGUACUUGGAUGGGUGACCGCCUGGAAUCCUGGGUGGGCUGUUGGUA